AGACGCUGCCCCGUUCCUCCUUUUCCUGGAUUGGAGUCAGGACACCGGGGUCUCAUCCAUGUUCUGCAAUGAAUUUCCCUGUUUAAAGGUAGCAGCCCCGUGCUCGUGGCUCCUCUGACUGCAGGGUGAUGGCUGGUGAAUACAGACAGAACGCAAGCACCUGGAUUCGCUAUCAAAUAAUUGGGUGUUAUCUGGUCAGGUAAGACGAGCUACCCCUGACCCACCACUCCUAAACAAUUAGACACCAGCUUUAGGGAUGUUAACUCAGGGACAGGCUUGUGAAUUGAAUGUGGCCGGUUACUCAGAAGGGUUUGGUGGGGGCCUGAGGCAGCGGCGAAAUAAUGAAAGGGUACUCUUGGGUUUCUGGUCCCAGCUGUGGAAGGGGGCAGAGCAACGAUACCGCGUGAUGGAACAAGAGCUCUGUGUUGACGAUGCGUUACAGCAGGUGGAGGGCAUUACAAAAGGCCUACCUGAGUCAUUGAGCAACACACAAAAACCCACUAUCUGGGGUCUAAAACAGCUGUGUACGACAUAUGGGACCCCACCAUGGACAUCGAUAGUGACCAAGGAAUUCACUUUACUGGCCAUGAAGUUCAGGAAUGAGCCAAUUAAGAAUGAUGUACACUGGCGUUUCCUUAUUACCCCACUGCUGCUGGGCUAUGACCGGACUACUUAACAACUGAGAUGGGAAACUGGUUCUCUCAACGUGUGACACAUCCCAGGAGCAAUUGUCCCAGUGCCUACACCAUGAUAACCCAGAAGCAACUAGUCAACACAAGCCAAGUUCACCUGUUGGCCACUGAAGGACCGUUGCCAGCUAUUGGUUAGGACAGUAACUUACUUUUGCCCUUGCCGCAGGGUCUGUCCCUAGGAACACGUUAUAAAAUGGCCCUGGGACUGGCAGGUAAGUCCCCGGUGGUUUGCUUUUCCCGCCCCAAGAGGAAUAGGAUUAGAAAUGGACUUAAGAGAUUUCACCUGUCUUCUACCCAGCCCCACCUGAGACUGCUGAAACAAUCCAGGCCCCCUGCUGGAGAAAGGCACCAUUAUAUCAGCCUGUGGUCAGUUGUUAUACCACCUCUCCAGCGUUCGGCACCGGCUCUGAGGACUGAAGGUGGACAAGUGGUGUACUACUGCAGGCCAGGACGCGGCGGCAGAGGUAGUGUUAUCUCAGGAUGUUGUCACUGCUUGUCGUUUGCUUAAUGGUCAUGACCUUCCCUGUAUGGUGCCUGUUAAAACAUCUUACAUUUUGUCCCUAGUCUGAAUGGAGGGAAUCUGUGGACUGGGCAACACUGGGGGCCUCACUGCGAAAUGAGUUUGAUUGCUGGAACUAGAGCGAGAUGCUGUUGUUGUCCUCUGGAAUUCCAUGAAAAUUUGACCUGAUGAGCUGCCUGGCUCUGAAGUGUGCCCACCUCUUGCACUCUUGAUGCUUUUAGCUUCUGUUGUCUGUAUUGCAUUUGCGGUAUUUGGUGGCAGGGCACCACUACGUACCUGAGCCCAGGGAUAUCUCGGAAGAGGGGUGAACCAAGAUUGUAAGGGUCAUGCGGGGUAUGUGGGGUGGAGUGUAUGGCCAGGCCACUCAAGGUGGCUGUUCUCUUGCUCUUUGUACAUCUCCUGCUUCACCUACACUCUGCUCACAUGAACGUGCUUGGCCUCUGCCCCAGCUAGUGAUUGUUCUAGUCUUUAGGCCAGAACGGCUCCAGCUGCUAGUUUAUUAAAGGGAAAUUUCUGCCCUGGAGAUGGUUGUUACCCUGAGGGGCUGGGAGGGACCUGCCCCAGCGGCUAGUUUCCCUGGUAACUGAUGAGCCAACCUGUGGUCAUUUCCCCCUAUAAAUGGUAGCCUCCUUCUCCCCUGACUAGGAAAGAUUGUUGCCAUGGCCUGCCUGUUGUCUGUCCUACAUGGUAGGGUGACCCCUUGUUUCGGAGGGGUAGGAUCCCCUAUCCGCUAAAUCAUUGUCUCUGUCCCUGCCUUGGGGCUCUUUCUUCAGUCUCGAGGCUGGGCAAUUACAAGGCUUGCAGGCCUGCGGGGUGCAGCCCCAAAUGGUCUAAGGUUGGUCUGAGUUUCAUCUUAUUCGUUCCUGCCAACCUUUGGAAAUGUUAAAGAACACUAAAAGGGUCCAGAGUCAGCAUGAAUGAUUAUCUGAGUGAAUAAACAGAAGGAUCAGUACAAACGAAAACCUCCUGGACACAUCUUCAACUGGGUAGUGGGCCUCCCUGCAUGAGUGGAGAGUAACAUAUAUGAGGGAAAUGCUUUAGAGGGAGUACUAGAGGCCAGUCGUUACUGCCCUAUAGUCUGGCCUAUGAUUUCAUAAACUGGUUUGUUGAGCAAAUGUCCACUAUGUAACUGUUGCUGUAUUCUUUAAUGUGUGAAAGUUCACUUCAGAAUUAGAGACGAAUGUGUUCCUAUUUAAUAGUUUUCCAAUUAUAAAUGAUGUGUAAAACAAGGGUCUCUUCCCAUUUCCAGUGAGAGACCCCAUCCAAUUGAUCAUUAUGUCCCUUGUUACCACUGAAUUGGUUAUCAGCUCACUGAGGAGAAACUGUCAUAUUCAUCUUUGGAUCCUCCCUCAGCUGCCCCAGUUCUGGUAACAGUCAUUCAAUUGCUUAAAUUUCUUUCCGAUUCCUACUGCCACCUUCUUGGCUCAGAUGUUCUUCAUGCUGGGAAUAUUACUAAAUUUCUUUAUUGCACACCUGAUUCUAUGCUUGACUACCCCCUGCCCACCCCCCCCAAAAAACCCUCAUUUUACGUAUUAUAUAUUGCUGCCUGAUGAUUAUAUAUAAAUUAAUACGUUACUACCCAACUCAAUAUUUUCAGUCAGGGGAUGUUUGAAAGCUUAUCAUGUAGCUAUUUAGUUUUCCUUGUUGUCUUAAGCAGUAUUUCUUAGAUUUGACUCAUCCUAAUAAUCUGAGAACUUAAAAAAAAAAAAAAAAGCUCAAGUUACACCUGAAUCAAAAUUCCCACAGAAGGAGCCCAAGAAUCUAUUUAUCAAGCAUCCAGGUGACUUUUAUGAUUAAGUACUUGUGCUUAUUGUACUAGCAGCAUUAGUAUCACAUGUGAAAAAGUAGAUUUGGGGCCCCUUCUCACUUUGGGGUCCAGCAAUCUGAUUUAAUAAGUCUUCCAGGUGAUUCUGAUGUACACUGAAGUUCAAAUACCAUCGAACUAGCCUGUAACAAUGACUUAGGGCAGUGGUUCUCAGAUGUGGCUGCACACUACCACCGUCUAAGGAACUUUUAAAAACAACAAUACUGAGCCCUUACCUCCAGAUAUUCUAAUUGAAUUGGGGCACAGCAAGCAUUUGACUAAUAUAUCAUCAUGGAUGUUGAGGCUGAUGUAACCUAUAACUCAUUUCAGAAUUUUGAACUUAUCUAGCCUUACUGAUUGGAUUUAUAUGGUGCCAAGUUUGAAUUUUUAACAUAAAUGUGUGCAUUUGAGAUAUUGAGGUUCUCUGUAGACAGAUUUAAUUGGAAUAAAGGGAGCUUCUACUAAUGGUUUGAAAACCACAAGCCUACAAACUCAAGUCCAAACCCUUCAGUCUUGCCUUUAAAACACAAGUUUAUUGUCUCUCUUACUAAUACCGCAUAGCCCUACUCUCCAGCUGUAAUAUUGGGUUGGCCAAAAAGUUGGUUCGGGUUUUUCCGUAGCAGCUUAUGAACGAACGUUCUUGGCCAACCCAAUACACCUGUAGGAAGUAUGCUUCCUGACACCUAGGAAGGGGAAAGAGCACCAGACUGAGGUCCCAGACUACAGUCUAGUUCCAGCCUGUUGGACCUUGGCAAGUCACUCUCUUUUGGCUUGUUUCCUCAUUACGAAGGGAGGGGCCGGAACCAAAUGAUGUCUAGCACUCCUUCUGACUUAGUGUUUUAGCGUUUUCACAUUCAGGUUCAUUUCCAACUUAAGACUGUGUUGUCCCUUCUGUAGGAUAACUCAUCCAGAGGCACAGUUCAAGAUCUAAUUAUCGUUAGCAUUUCUUUGGCACUCAGUCCAAGCCUCUUUGACCUCUUAGGCGUCUUUGUGUGUUUAUGUCUGGUCUCCCACUGGGUAAUAGAUUUCACGUAUCUCUUUGUAUCCCUAAAUGCCCAGCAUAAAAGUCCAUGUUUCUUAUCUUUUUUCUCAGGACCAUGAAUUAUGGCCGCUGCCGUUUGUUUUAUUCCAACAAUAGCUACGUUGAAAGCUUGUUUUUGCUGAGUGAGCUCUCAUGACUGUACCAAAGGUUUCCAACUUAUAUCCUACUUAUCCUACAAAUUUUCUUUUAUGAUAGUCCUAUUCAGCCCCUAGUUUCCACUGAUUAUUCUCAAAAUAGCUCUCUUGUGGCCUCUGCUGGUUUGACAGUAGACAACUGCUUCACUAAUUCCUUAAAUGCACACUAAAGGAUUCAAGUGUAAGGACACUUCAGUUUUCCAAGGAACCAUUCUAACAACAUCAGCUCAGCAAAGAGAAAGAUUUUGAGAUGUCUCUUAAACUGCUAGCCUUGCUGAGAAUAGACAGUGGUAAAACCUGAGAUAUUUUAAAUGCUUAUUUCUGAAGUGGCAUUUUUCAAACUUAAACUCAUGCUUGUUAAGAUGCCAGGAACAAGUGAAUAAGAUUCUUAGGUGUGUUCUUUAAAAGCUUGCCUCUUUGGAAUAAACUUGUCAAAAUUGGCCUGAUUCUGAUACUUGUAUUAUACCUGGCAAAGAUAAAAGUGCUUGAUAAAGGUUUAAGUAAAUGUACUAGUGUUAUUUGGUUUACGUAACACUAUUCCUUUUUGACAACUAAAUUAUAAGUUAAAGACGAUCUGGGCAAGAAUCUUUUCAGAGUUAUUUGUUUUAGAGGGCCUAAGAAUGUUCUCUGUAAGUUUUAAAAUACAUAUGCUAGAUGCAAUUUUAAAUCGAGUUACUAAUAUGUUAAGCUGCCUUUCCAGUUGGACUUUGGGAAAUUUUUCACUACGUGAGAGGUGUUAAGAAUAUUCUUCUGCUUCAUUUGUUCUUUUCUCAAGGUAGCAUGUUGUAUCUUCUAUAUACAUUUGGAUACCUAUGAUUAACUCAUUCAAACUGUUGCCUCUGACAACCUUACGUUUCAAAUGAUUUAAUCGGGAUGCCUGUCUGUCAAAGGCAGGAAAGGUGUUAAUCCAAUGUGAAGUGCUGACGUUGCAGUUCUGCAUGCUUUCAAAGUUUAAAUCACAGGUCUUCAACUUUAGAAAGCUCAAAGGCAACCUGAAACUAUAUGUAACUACAUACAGUGACUGAUACAUAUUUGUAUGAAAAUACUGUCUAACAUAUAUAAUGCUUUACAAAUGAAGAAGCCCUUUCAUAUAUCUUCUUAAAUCACAAACUGCAGUUCUGUGUUUAAAUGCAUCUGUCUAACUCAAGUGUCUUUAAAAAGUAUCUAUUACAUUACUUCAUUUAAAGGUAGAGCUGGUCAACAGCAGAUGAAGAGACCUCAGUUUACCCAACCUCACAGGGUUACUGAGGAAAAAUGAAAAAUGCUGGCUAAAGGGUUGGAUUUCUGUCAAGCCACUAUCAGGUAGACAAUCUCUUGUCUCUGCUUAGGCUCCUUUUUUUUUUUUUUUUUUUUUGCGGUACCCGGGCCUCUCACUGUUGUGGCCUCUCCCGCUGCGGAGCACAGGCUCCGGACGCGCAGGCUCAGCGGCCAUGGCUCAUGGGCCCAGCCGCUCUGCGGCAUGUGGGAUCUUCCCGGACCGGGGCACGAACCCACGUCCCCUGCAUCGACAGGCAGACUCUCAACCACUGCGCCACCAGGGAAGCCCUAGGCUACCUUUUUUAAAAAAAAAACAGAUCACUGGAGAUAUACAGCUCUAACUGCACAUCCUGUGGUGCCCUGUUCCAAUCCAGGUGUCUCUCAGUGGCUAUUCUGGCCAUUGAGACACAGGGAAAGUUACUGGGAGGGGCCUUCUGGAAAACUUUUUAAAGGACAAAAACAAAUGACAUGUGCCUUUUUCUUUUCCCUUCCACCUGGCUAGAACAUGGACAUGAUUCCAGAGGUGGCAUAACUAUUUAAUAGUCACAAGGAUGAAGGCCACAUACAAAAUAUGAAAGCAGAAAGCUAGAAGAAAUCCGGGUUUACGAGGGCAUAGACCAGCUUUGGACUGGCCAUCUCCAGACAUUCUAAUGUGAGAAAAAGAAAACUAGUCAUUUGUUGUUUAAUCUUUUUUGGAUCUGUGUUUUGGCAGCUUAGUGUUAAGCUGAUACAUAAAUUCCCAAGAUUAUUUGACGAUUAAAAGAGAAAAAUCUAUGUGAAGAGUGUAACACGGUUUCUGGCAUAUACUAAGUGACCAAUGAAUGGCUAUUAUUUGGGGAAGAUUAGUUGACUGCCAGCAGAGAACAAAAAAUCAAACAUAGGAUAAACAAUUUGGGAAGGGAAGAAAAGUGCUGAAUAGAAGCUAUGAUAGGUCCAUUAAAAAAAUAUUGAGAAUCACACUCAGAGCCAAACAAUGUACAAAGAGGGUCUAACAUAAAUGUAGAUACUAAAUGUAAGUGAUUUCUUUUCCAAUCCCCUCUCUGAAAACAUAAAACUGAUGUCAUUUACUCAUGAAAACCUUGAUCAAUGAGGAAGAUGAGACUAAAAAGUUUUUUAAAAACUCUGAGAAGUAAAGGUUGUAUCUAUAAGGUUAUUUAGAUUUUGGUGAGGCAUUCCAUUCAGUGUGUCAUGUCCUCCUGCUUAUGUAAUACUGUCAAGAUCUGGAUUAAAGGAAUACACAAGACACUGAUAAACAAAAUGCCACUAGAAAAGGUGACACAGAUGUGGUCAGUCAUCUUGAUGACUCAGACACUAGGUUCCAGAGGAGUAGAAAGUUGCUAAAUAGAGAAAUCUAUUUUUGUUCAUAACAUUGGUCAAUCCAGAGAACUACAACUAACUGAAUUUGAACAUGUGGGCGGAGAAGAACUCAAAUUGCUUGAAAACUGCACGAGGAAGAACAAGUAUGAUGAAAAGAAAACAUGUGAAGAGCUGGAAUAGUAUGAUCAGAGGAUGUUAAUUUAUAGUACGUGGCAAAGGAAAAGAUAUUUGUAGUCACCUUGACAGGAAUUCACUACCGAGUAGUUCAUUUCAAGUCAAUGAAAGAAAGAAGCUGGAAAGUUAAAAGGAUUGUUAAAAUUUAGCCUUUUAAAAGACAUGAAUGCCAGACAUUGGAAUGACCUACGUAAGAGCAACUUGAUUAAGAGAAUAAAAAUCUAUGUUAACAUGAAGUCACUGCUGAAUGUGAAUACCAAGGGAAGAUGGAAUAAAAGACCCGAAAGGCAACAAAUCAGACUACAACUAUCAUAUUUUCAAAACUGUAAUUAGGUAUUACCAAAUAAAGUAAUAAACAACUUUUAACUUAGAGUGCAAAAUAAAAG